rnacentral:rRNA from 1 species
GAUGAACGCUGGCGGCGUGCUUAACACAUGCAAGUCGAACGGAAAGGCCCCUGCUUGCAGGGGUCCUCGAGUGGCGAACGGGUGAGUAACCCGUGGGUGCUCUGCACUGCACUUCGGGAUAUGCUUGGGCAACUGAGUCUAAUACCGGAUAGGACGUAGGGUUGGUUGCUAUUGUGGCAUGUUUUUUCGGUGUGGGAUGAGCUCGCGGCGUCUCAGCUUGUUGGUGGGGUAUUGGCUUACCAAGGCGUCGGCGGGUAGCCGGCCUGAGAGGGUCUACGGCCAAAUUAGGACUGAGCUACGGCCCAGACUCGUACGGGAGGCAGCGGUGGAGAAGAGUGCACUAUGGGCGCAAGCCUGAUGCAACGACGCCGCGUGGGGGAUGACGUCCUUCGGGUUGUAUACUCCUUCCGCUAGGGACGAAGCGAAAGUGACGGUACCGGGAGAAGAAGCACCGGCUAACUACGUG